GCAAAGUUAUUAGCUCUUCAGUGACACUUGGCAAUAAUAAUGUGAAAAGACGAUGUUACCCUUUAUCUUCAAGCAUUCUGAGGCAGGUUUUUAUCAAGUUGAAGAGUAAAUUGAAGCAAGCUCUCCGGUGGAAAAGGAGCAAUGAUACUCCAAACUAUACCUAUGAUCUUCAUAGCUAUUGGCUCAACUUUGAUGAUGGUCCUCCUUCAAUUCAUCAUGUCCCAUCUAAAGUUUGUUGAUCUUUUUUCUUUGUUUUCUUGAGUGAUUAUUAUUAUGAUGAUUAAUAAUAGUUGAUUUACAUCUUGUUAUUCCAUAGUCAAGUGGUG
rnacentral:lncRNA from 1 species